GACGAACGCUGGCGGCGUGCUUAACACAUGCAAGUCGAGCGGUAAGGCCUUUCGGGGUACACGAGCGGCGAACGGGUGAGUAACACGUGGGUGAUCUGCCCUGCACUUCGGGAUAAGCCUGGGAAACUGGGUCUAAUGCCGGAUAUGACCUCCUAUCGCAUGGUGGGUGGUGGAAAGAUUUAUCGGUGCAGGAUGGGCCCGCGGCCUAUCAGCUUGUUGGUGGGGUAAUGGCCUACCAAGGCGACGACGGGUAGCCGACCUGAGAGGGUGACCGGCCACACUGGGACUGAGACACGGCCCAGACUCCUACGGGAGGCAGCAGUGGGGAAUAUUGCACAAUGGGCGAAAGCCUGAUGCAGCGACGCCGCGUGAGGGAUGACGGCCUUCGGGUUGUAAACCUCUUUCAGCAGGGACGAAGCGCAAGUGACGGUACCUGCAGAAGAAGCACCGGCUAACUACGUG
rnacentral:rRNA from 1 species